GGAAGAGAGUGCAUUGGUUAAUGAAGAUAAACUGAUCGUCGAUCCCUUUUCUAAUGCGCUUUUAUACAUGGCUGCCAAUUCUGCCCUUGUAAAUCCAAGUACUUCUGGAUCUUUUACUUUGGUAACGAUCGGAAUGUGAGGCUGGAAAAUCAAAGGUUCACGCUCGUAAUGGAAAUACCAUGUUAUGGAUGUGCGUAACAAACACUCGCGGUCAGUAUGUUCGCAAUUGUACUAGCAAGGAUGGACUGCACGAAUAUCCUCGGCCAACUCGUUCCCCACCAGGUAUUCGAGGAAUUCAUGGUUCUACGUAUCAGAACAUCCACUAAGAGAUGUACAAACUUACUAUUGGUGAUUCCAUAGCGUGUGAUAGAAUAUAACGGAUGUACUCGAAACCACAUACAUAUUUGACGAAAACCCUAUGAUCAAGUUUUCGAAUACACAUAAAUUGGGCAACACGAGUGAUUAUUAAGUGACUCGUAAGAAAAAUGGGAACAGUACAGUAAACCAGUUCAGAGGAAACAAGCGACAAAAUUAAGUGCAAUCGUGAUCUGGAGUCUUUUGCUUUUUGACGCAGAUCGUAGGAUGCCAUCAAGAAUCACGGUAUACGAUUCUACGAUGAAAGACUAUUCUUUGAAAGGAUCUGGUUUCAGCUCGUUCGCACAUUGAAUUUAGAUCACGAAUUGAUUAAUUA
rnacentral:lncRNA from 1 species